GAAAUAAAUUUAUAAAGCUUCUAACUUUAAUUUAGAUAUUAAAUUAUCAUUAUUUCU
rnacentral:tRNA from 3 species